GUACUUUGGAAGGAUACUCUAACAGGACAAUGGAAAGGUCCUGACCCAGUGAUUGUCUGGAGUCGGGGUUCUGUUUGUGUGUUUCCACAGGGAGAACAGCAGCCGAUUUGGAUUCCAGAGAGACUAACCAAAACAAUUUCUACAGACCAAAAAGAAGAUGAUUUGACUCAAAUCCAUAACAGCUGAUAUCCAGAGCUCCAGCUUGGCUAUUCUUACAUCUGCGACAGUGAUUAACCAGGAUGCUUUUUUCAAUAUCUAUUUUAUUAUUGCUUUUUCCCACAUCAUAAAGUUCUAUUUUAUUUUUGAGCUCAUACAGACCUAGGUUAAUGUUUUUCUGAUCAGUUUUAUUUUUUGACUGUGGAGUUUUUAAACAUUGCAAUGGAGAUUUCACCUAUGUAAAGCUACAAGGCCUUUACUAUUGUCUUAUGUGUUGUAUGUUAUGUGUGCACACUUCUGUUUUGUGUUGUAUGUCUGUAUGUGCGUAUGUCCAUAUAUCAUAUAUGAGGAGCACUCAUGAAUAAAUGGAUCCGAAUUUUUUUUAAAUGGUUUAAUUUAAAUUGGGUAAACAGCUGUUGAGGAUUGUUUUAAUAUGUGUACAAAUAAGCAGGUUAACAGAUCUGUUUGCUUACUUUCACCUUUCCUUUUCAUUAUAUUUAAUAAUUCUGUUCAGGAUAAUGUAAAUUGUUCAAAAAAUUGUUUUCUUAGUACCUGUUGAAAUGUUACAUAAUUUUUUUUUAGCAUCAUUGUCAAAAUUCCUAUCUUCAUCCCAGUGCCGGUGAAGACAAAGAUGAAACCAAACUACAGUUUCUUCGAUAGUUAUCACAACAAACUGUAUAAACUGAUGCAUCGAUGAAUAAUAACUCAACAAGUAAUGCUCAAUCAAGGAGUCGAUUUAUUUUGGGAGGAAAUGGACAUAUUGAUAGAUUCCUCCACAUUGAACUGCUUGUAGAACUUGCCUGGACUAUGUAUCACUUAUAUGCAUUGUGAUCUAUCUGUUGAUGCAACGAAUUAUGGUAGUGCUGGCAUAUCUUUGCUGAUGCAAAGAUACCAGUGAUGCAGUUUUUCCUAAGGAGCCGUCAAUUGGCUUGGUGUCAUGGCAUUUCUGUAUCCUCCUCCCUUCUACUAGUGAUGGUCUAAUUUUGGGGGCUAACAGAGGUGAGGCAAAGAACCUCACCCCCCCCCACCAGCACCAAGGCCAAAUUUGGGGGCCAACAGAAGUGAGGCAAAGAACCUCAUCCCCCCACUGGUGCAUACGCCUAUCCACAAGUAUGGCUAUAUGCUGGACCAGUAGUCAGUGACGGGUAUGAUCCAAUUGCAGUGGUAUCAACCUAAGACAGGAGGCUGACGCCUAGAGGUCAGUUCAUCCGAUGACAGGUAAGAACCAUAUGUUGAAUUGGACAAACCUAACAGGCACGGUCCCUAGCCACAUUGCUUGUUGCUUAAUUAAACAGAAGGGGGGAGAUGCUAAGAGCCACAGCCAAGUAAUAUGAUGCAUGGCAUUUUUGGUUGAAAGGUGACGCCAGCAAGCCAUUGAGAUGAUAUGAUUAUGUUAAAAUCUGCAUUCUUAUGGAUAUUAGAUUCCUGCUGUUCACCUUGGCCUGCUACUCCUGGAGAGUUCCCAUUGGUUGGGGAAGUGCGGUAGGAGGGAAUUCCGGAGGUGGGACUUCCUG
rnacentral:lncRNA from 1 species